rnacentral:lncRNA from 1 species
UACAAGCGAAACAAACACAGACACACUCAGAUAAAAACUCUGAAACAAAACCAUGAGUGAUCCUGAUUGUAGUAUACAGGAAGCAUAUUGGGAGUUUUUGACCUGCCAAGCAAGCGCACCUGUCAUGGCAAAGGUCAUAUACAUAUCCCCUCCUUACUCUCUUUUGUACGACAGCUUCUAAAGACCAUUCCAAUCUUCAUCAACCAGAGUUGUUGAUUGGAGAGUCAUCGAGAGAUGGUGAUUAGGAUCAACAAGAGUUGAUUACAGGGAUCAUCGAGGGAUGAUAUGUGACAGCAACCAGAGUUGAUUGGAAGGAUCAUCGAUAGAUGAUAUGAUAACAUCAACAAGAGUUGAUUGCAUCAUCGAUAGAUGAUAUGAUUGAUCAACAAGAGUUGAUUGAAGGGAUCAUCGAUAGAUGAUAUGAUCAACGAGAGUUGAUUGAAGGGAUCAUCAAGAGAUGAUAUGAUCAACACGAGAGUUGAUUGAUGGGAUCAUCAAGAGAUGAUAUCAACGAGAGUUGAUUGAAGGGAUCAUCGAGAGAUGAUAAGGAUCAACACGAGAGUUGAUGAUAAUAAGAUCAACGAGAAUGAUCAGAUGUUGUUCUGUCCCUACGACAUACCUAAAAGAACACAUACUUGUUAUACAAUCUAACAUGAUAUGUAAGCACAAGACUGAGUAGAUGCCAAAAACAGUAUACCUCUUUCGAAUGGAUCAAGGUCAUGCCAGAUGCAGCACAAGACAAGCCAAACCCUAACAAGAAGAUCAUCAAUUAGAUAAGGAGAUUCAAAAGGAUUAUCAAAAUAGAAACAAAACAAUCUCAAAACCAAACUUACAUGAAAAUAAUCUGACCAAGAUCCUUCCUUUUUAAAACUUCAGAUGUUGAUCAACAAGGGUUGAUUACAUAUGUACAUACCAACGAGAGUUGAUGAUUAAUAUCAACUAGGGUUGAUUAGUAUCGACGAGGGUCGAUGUAUCAACUAGGGUUGAUAAUUAGUAUCGACGAGGGUCGAUGUAUCAACUAGGGUUGAUAAUUAGUAUCGACGAGGGUCGAUGAUUGUAUCAACUAGGGUUGAUAAUUAGUAUCGACGAGGGUCGAUGAUUGGAUCAACGAGGAUUGAUCUCUCAAAGAACACAAAAACAGAGUUAGACUUCAUACGGACCAAACACACAAACAGAGUUAAUCCGAUUCUACAAGAUAUGUAAGGAAAAAGUCUAACAAAAUCUUAUAUAUGGUAACAACUUACCUCGACGAACACUCCGAUCAAUCACAAAUCCAUGCAAAACCCUAAAAAAGAUGAUAAAAAAGAUUACAAAGAGAAGAAGCGAUGAACAAUAAUG